rnacentral:rRNA from 1 species
CCUACGGGUGGCAGCAGUGGGGAAUAUUGCACAAUGGGCGCAAGCCUGAUGCAGCCAUGCCGCGUGUGUGAAGAAGGCCUUCGGGUUGUAAAGCACUUUCAGCGGGGAGGAAGGCGGUGAGGUUAAUAACCUCAUCGAUUGACGUUACCCGCAGAAGAAGCACCGGCUAACUCCGUGCCAUCAGCCGCGGUAAUACGGAGGGUGCAAGCGUUAAUCGGAAUUACUGGGCGUAAAGCGCACGCAGGCGGUCUGUCAAGUCGGAUGUGAAAUCCCCGGGCUCAACCUGGGAACUGCAUUCGAAACUGGCAGGCUAGAGUCUUGUAGAGGGGGGUAGAAUUCCAGGUGUAGCGGUGAAAUGCGUAGAGAUCUGGAGGAAUACCGGUGGCGAAGGCGGCCCCCUGGGCAAAGACUGACGCUCAGGUGCGAAAGCGUGGGGAGCAAACAGGAUUAGAUACCCGUGUAGUC